rnacentral:rRNA from 1 species
UACGUAGGGUGCGAGCGUUGUCCGGAAUUAUUGGGCGUAAAGGGCUCGUAGGCGGUCUGUUGCGUCGGGUGUGAAAACUCAGGGCUUAACCCUGAGCCUGCUUCCGAUACGGGCAGACUAGAGGUAUGCAGGGGAGAACGGAAUUCCUGGUGUAGCGGUGAAAUGCGCAGAUAUCAGGAAGAACACCCGUGGCGAAGGCGGCUCUCUGGGACGGUACUGACGCUGAGACGCGAAAGCGUGGGGAGCGAACAGG